AAGGGGCCCACAAGAAUCAGUGAACUACAACUCCUGGCCCAGCACAGGAUACCCAAGAGUCAUAUCACGUGCCUGAGAGCAUUGUCCACCUCUGGACCACGACAGUACUGAACUGUGCCAGGCUGGUGCUCUGUGACCCCUUCCCUGAGGGGCUUCUUCCAGUGCCCAGCCACACUGUGGGUGAAGACCCUUUUCCUUGUACUUAACUUAAACCUCCCCCAACAAAACUUCAGACUGCUCCCUUGGGUCCUGCCACUGUUCAUCACAGAGAAGAGAUCAGUGCCUGUCCACCUGUUUUACCUCACAAGGAAGCUGUAGGUCACUGGGAGACCUCCCCUCUAUCUCCUCUGGGCUGAACAGACCAGGUGACCUCAGCUGCUCCUCAUAUGGCUUUGUCUCCAUAUCCUUCACCAUCUUUGUGACCCUCCUCUUUUCCAUUAGUUUUAUGUCUUUCUUACACUGUGGCACCCAGAACUGCCCCCAGCACUCGAGCCAGCUGUGCCCCUACUGCAUGGCAUAUCCAGAAGGAUCCUGUGAGAGACAGUGUCAGAAGCUUUACAGAAAUCAAAAAAGAUCACAUCAUCAUCAAGGUGAGCUACCUUGCCAUGAAAGGUAAUUAGCUUGUCAAGCAGGACCCUCCCCUUGUGUCAUCAUGCUGGCUAUGACCAAUGACCACAUUUUCUCUCAGGGGUUUUUCAGUAACUCCCAGAAUAAUCUUCUCCUUAGUUUAACCAGGCACUGGAGUGAGACUGACAAUACUGUAGUUAUCAGGGUCAUCCCUCUUGCCAUGAAGGAAUUCUUCCUCAUAUCCAACCUGAACCUGCCCUGGUGCAUCUUAAGGCCAUUUCUUAUCCUGUUGCUCAUUGCCUGGGAGAGGAGGCUGACCCCCACCUCGCUACAACCUUCUUUCAGAUAGCUGUAGACAACAGUAAGGUCUCCCUCCCCCAAGCCUCCUCUUCUCCAGGCUAAAAAACUCCAGCUCCCUCAGUCACUCCUCAUAUGACUUACUUUCUAGACCCUUCCUCACCUUUGCUUCCCUUCUAAAUAAUUUAUGAGUAUAAAGUUAAUUUCAGCAAAAACUUGGAUUUCUUGAUGAACAGUGGGAGACUGGGGGAUUAAAUCUCUUGGUAUAGAAGGGCCACCACAACCUCAUCAGGUUUUGAAUCAUCUGAAAAACUUCAUAUUUUACCACAUGCAGACUCAAAGCCCUACUCAGACAUAGAACCGCACCGUACAUGCCAUCAUCUCCAGAGGAGCAGAAUGAAUGAACACAGCAGAUGAGAACAGCAACUAUUGCUGUCCAAAGCACCUAUCUUGGGUAGCACUGACCAGAUGCUAAUUCUGGUUAUCCUGCCCACAAAAACUUUUUCCUUAGGUGAUGUCAUACAAUACACAUGCAACUUUCCAUCUUUUGUAUCAAGAUUUUAUAUUAUGAGCUUGGCAUUGACAUCCUGCUUUGUUCUGUAAAAUGUGUUACUUGUCUUUUCUACAUGUAUGAAGAUUCCUGAGGUACAUUUGCUCGUUCCAGGACUUAAGGAGGGCAGGAACCCCAGGUCUUCACCCAGUGUAAGACUUCUAUCCAGAGCCUUCCCAGCUGACACAGCCCUUCUAUGAACCUGGGCUCCCCGGGAAAUCCUCUUCCCCUGCCUCUGCAUCAUCCUUUUAAUAAACCUCACAGAUUUUACCCUCUCCAUGUUGGCCAAAAACAAACACAUGAACUUAUAUCUGAUUAAUAGAUCAGUUUAUUAUGUAAAGAAAAAAAAAUCUGCAUUUUCCUUAUCACUAGCACUGUAAUGCAAAAAAAAAAUUAGUUAUUAAAGUUGAGGAAUUGUCUCUCCCUUCACAACUGCUCCUCACAUUCAGAGAAGAUGGAUGAAAGUAAAGCAUCCAUCCCUCGAGACUAGCUACAGUUCAGCCUCACAAAGAUCAUGACCUCAACUGCAAGGACUACUAUGUAAAAUGUUUCUGAAUUCAUAAAGCCAUGCCCACUGCUCAGGAUUCAAUCCCAAAAUAAAAAUGGGUGAAGUUGUCAGGAAAGGGAGGAAAUCCUCUCCCCAGCUCCUCAGGCUUCACGUGGGAGGACUCUGACUUCAGGAGUGUGGUAGCUGGGAAGCGACCCAGCUAAAAGCUUCCAGUCAUGAACCUCAGGCAUUAAUUGCAACUCUUCACAUUGAUAGGAAGGCUCUAAGUAUGUCUUCUGUGAUACUGAAGUUUAAAAAUGUUAGGCAAGGGUAAGGUGUGCUGCUAACAUCAGAUGCAACCAUGUUGGAAAACCCUGAACAUGCUGCUCUCUUCACCAUGUGAACAACUGAACAACUUUGCAUUUCACUGGCACACCCAAAACACAUGCACAAUGCCUCAAGUCAAUGUAUGUCUUACAAACUCAAUAGAAAUACUUUCUGUUUCAGUGUUUUCUGUUUGAACUGAACUGAGUUCUAAAACAAAUUCAGUUUUGAAUGAGAACAAAGUAUUACAGAGGACAACAAUCCACCUUUUGGCUUGUUUUACAGAUUAGGGUAUUUUCAUCAAAAUUAGGAUAAAUUAGAACAAUGUUUGCUUCUUCAUUUGUAUCUUUUAAUAACUAAAAAAAAUGUUCUUUUCUGUAAAAAAUUGUAAAAGCAUCAGUGGGACUUCUGGCCUCCAAGGCAGACCCUAAGAGGGAGUGAUGAUCUGCCUACCUAAAAAACUAUUCUGUUUCACCUGAGUGCUCUGUAACUUUUUCUGCAUUCUGAUCUAAAUACUCUGGCUAAGGCCACUGUGCACUAUCACAUAUCAGGUAUCAAGUUUACUGCAAAAUUGAAGUUUCUGAUUCCUAUAUUAUUUAGUUUUUAUUAUUAAUAGUUCCAUAACAUUGAAUAUCUAAGAUGCUGUGGAAACAAUACUAACCAGUGUAGGCAAGGUUUAAAUUGGUUUUGAGUGUGCCCACCAGAGUUUUCUCUGUAUUUACCAAAUCAGUGAAAAGUGAACCUUAUUAACUUUGCAUCUUCUCAGUGCUAUGCAGAGAAAUUCUUGUGGUCCCGCUGGGGAACUGCAUAUCUAGGUAGCAUUGGAUACCUCAUACCAGUCCAGCAUAUUUUUCCUGGAGGGAAGCAGACCACACAUACAGAAAGGGGAGAGAAGCCUUAUCCACCUCCCUGUAAACACACAGGGGGAAAAAAUAGGAACUGCUGUUGUUUUUAAUUGGAAGAAGAACGCAGCAGUCAGGUAAAACUGUACAUUAUGAGAUGUGGUGGUUGAAAUUGAAGAACCACCUGUGAGCACCAUAUAUUAAUUCAUUGGGAAUAAGAUCUUUCACAAAACAUACCUCUAUUCCUUCAGGGUAAAAUCAUGUUUACACUAUCACUCCUACUGAGAAACUGUAUGCCAUCAUAUGUUAUUUCAUAGAAUUAUAGAAACAUGGAAAUACAUGGCUUGGAAGGGGACUUUUAAAUGUCAUCUAGUCCAACUCCCCCACCAUGGGUAGGAACAUUUCCACUAGACUGCUGGAGGUUGUCACAUAACAUCUAGUCAUACUUAAAUGUUAGGAAGCAGAACUUAAUGUGGUGAAACUACCCAGACUACUCCUAGAUUUGGCCUUGGAAAAACAAGCAGACAACUUCUUCUGCAUCCUAGCUGCUCUACUAUGCACAUGAGACACACCUUGCCCAAACUAAGCAUCUGAUGCAUGCUGCAGCUGGUGGAAAGAAAACAGGAACUGCAAAGGAUCAACAAAUCAUGCCAAAACAUGAACUGUGAGAUGGGCUGGAUGAAGCAUCCCUGGAGAAGUCAUGGUCACAACAAAGAGAAGCCAGGAAAAAGCCCAGCUUUUGCACUGUAACUGCCAGCUCUGCCAACCCUGCUUGCACAGCCUUGCUGCUGUCCAAUGUGAGGAAUUCCAUGGGUAGCAGUAUCGCACACAACCUUGAUCCUCUGCCAGGAAUACCCCAGCAGCUCCUCCAGCCCAGAGUGGUACUCAGAUGCAACAGAGAAAAGCCAGGAAGCUUCUCUAGCCAGCACAAGUGUGAGUUCACUCAGAGAACCAAGAUCCUGCUCUGGCUGACCCCCAAUGGCUCAUAUACACCAGCGCUACAGCAGCUUCUUUGAGGACACCCCUCUGCAAAUGUUUAAGGAGGUAUUUGAGAGCUCAGAGGAAUGGAGAGGUGCUGCUGUCCAUUCAGCAGCACAAAGAAACCAGCAGGCUUUGGGCUCACACUGUGUCUCUGAAAACGCGUCUUCACUUUAAUAAGACUCUAAUAGUAUUAUGGAGACCUGGUUCCUGUGAGAGACCAGGGCAUUACUGCCACUCCUCACACUAUUAUUUUUGCUUUUUUCACAACCUCAAUGUACCCAGACUCCCAGACUGUGCAACUUUGUGAUGCCAACGUCAUUCUUGCAGAGGAGUCUGUGGCUCCCUUCACCCUGAGCAGGAAUAAAUUACCAGCUGUCACAUUCCUCUUGCUCGGGAUGGCAAGUCUCACCUGCUGUCCACACAGUGCAGAGGUGUUCCCAGUUUGUCCAGUUUGUAUCCAGAGCACAUUGAAUUAGAAGCUUCUGAACUACCUUGUUUAAGAAAAUACAGAUUUUUUUCAACUCCCCAGCAUUCCAUUCCCUUUCCUCCUUGUCUUUUCUGAUACAGACUGUGCUGCAUUAAACUCAAGAGCUUCAGUGAUUCAAAGUAGAAGCUUCCAGGUAAAUCUACAAUGCCCACAAGCUCCCUGGAUGUUGCCUGCUGGUUGGAGCCAUUAUGAAUCAUCCAGGUCCAUCACAGGAAGCACAGAGCCUGGUGGCACUAAGAUAUCAGAUGUACCUCCAGGUAGAAGGAUAAACUCCUGCUUUGAAGGUUGGGUUUUGUUCAGGAAAAAAAGAAGGGAUCUCUGCUCAAAGAGAGCUGACACCAUGGAGAGGGAAAGGCAUCCCUUUGGUAUUGGAAGCAACUGGCUUAGCAGCAGGCAUGCAGGCAGGACUACCUGAGGAAGUCCUGUUACCUGUCUGCCUGUAAUAACCAAUGCAUCACAACUUUCCUGAGGAAAACAAGGUAUGUAUCAAUGCCCACUGGCCCCUGCCCUCUGCCAGUCCUUCCUGAAGGACCUCCUCAGUAGGCAAGUAAAAAUCCAAUCUCAACCCCCAGCUACAUUGAGCUACAGAAAACAAAAGCCAGGAUCUCUCCUAAUGCACAGCAUUAUCACAUUUAUAAAGCUUCUUUUCUACUUAAGCAAUACCAAUCAAAGAGGUCUGUGACUUUCCACAGAUGCCACAAAUCACUUCUGGUGCCACACAAGACAGCCAGUUUGUGGGAACCACCUCUUGUCUUUCGUCCCAUUUGCUUGGGACUGGUUUGCCCAGAGCACAGACUGACAAGACAUGUUGACUGCUACUAGAAUAGGGAUUCUUGGAAACUUCAGGCUGCAAGCAGGCAGCGCUCUCUCCUCAGUGGAUCUGAAAUACAUGGGGCUUGCUAUGAAAGCGCUGCCAGGCCGCCUGCUUCUCUGCUUGCCACAGAGCAAGAGUUAAGUGAAAAGGUCAAGAUUGAGUGCAAGUCUGUGGAAGAAGAUGAAAGAGGGAGAACAGUUGUAGGGGAAUAGGAGUGCUUUUACCCCAACAUGUGAUUCUUUCUUGCAUGAAGGAACCCUUCUGAUAUGUACAGCAUGAAUCAAACUUCUUGCUGUCACCUAGGUUAAAAAAAAAUAAAGUGAAUAGGUGCUGAGAAGAGCAGGAGUAGCAGAAUAGAGGUUGGGAAAUUACAAAAAAGCCCAACAGAGAGAGGGAUUGAAAAGGGCAAGUACUUUCAUGUAGGUAGCAUUAACAACAACAACAAAAAUCAGAGUAGCAGAACAAGUGAUUUCUCUAACCUGUUGCACGCCCAUCACUCAAAGGCAGCUGAAGCAGAACCAGUGUCUACACCUUUCCUUGGAAACCAGGUCACAGCCUAUUUCAGCAGCUAACACCAUUACUACAUAAAGCAGGAACUUAAAGAUGGAACAAUUACCUCUCCUGGAAGUAAAAACACUUCAGGAAAGUUCCCCCUGAUAAAACACCUCUGUUUGUUUAAAACACACCUGCUCACACAGCAAUGCAAACUUGGUGGUUUGCAUGACCAACCCUGUGCAAAAAUUUAGUUAGCUCCUCCUGGUUUUCCCUGUGGUCUAUACAAAUCAAGUCUGGGCCUUGAUAGGUCUGGGAAAGACAGAGGGGAUGAUGUUCCUGGGAAAGUAGGGAAGAGGAAAAGUAAUUGUGUACUUUCCUAAGCUAUUUAUUUUAAUUUUUUGUAAAGUAUCUGUCUGAAUUAAACUUUUAACACUACUUAACUAUUCAGUGCUGCUAACUGGAAAAGCUAAUUUAUUAAUGUGCUUUUUUUUUUACUGCUGUUAGCUGGUUAUUUCCAUUGCAAAAUUAUCUAUUGACAGGGAUCAUGGGAUUUCUGUAGGAGUACAUUUUAUUGUCAUUAAAUCUCAAUAAGUUGAUUCUAUCAAGUUUGUCUGAGUUUCCACCCACUUGCUCUGCACUGGAGCCUCAGCCUGUGCCCCUCCAACACAGUUACACUUAGCACCAGCCUCAUUCUGCACAUCUCACCCCCUUGUUUUGGCUUGCCUGAAUAAGUUAGAUUACUUACUUUUCACUACAUUUUCUCUGAAUGAUGGACAACUAAAGAGCUAAGUAACUUCAAUUACUUAAACACUUAAUUGCAAGACAUGGAAAAAUAUGUCAUCAUUUUUAGAAGUAAUUAGAUUAUAAACCUGCCAAUUUUAAGACUGUGAAGACUUAAACCAGCAGAGUGUCCCAAUGAAAAACAGUAAGAAAUUACUACAAUUUAGCACAGUGUGGUUUUUGCUUCUGGAAGCAGAAAGACAGGUUUUUGCCACAUACCUAGGAAACACAGCAAAGAUCUGGCAGUUGUGGAUAUCACACGCAACUUUGUCCCAGUACUGAUCACGAGGACUGUUUCUUGCACAGGAUCUGUAUUUCCCAGCAGAACUUCCUGUGCAGACAGUAAGUUGCUUUGCUUGUCUGUUUGCCACUCAGUUCCAGCUCUCUGUAGGCGCUUUAGAAAAGGCUGGAUUCUCCUUUCCAGUUGCCUCCAGUGGCAAUCCUCGCAGUUUCAGGAAAAUAUAUCAAUUUCAGCACAUUCACGUCCCAGAGAUCUGUCAAGGUAAAGAAAAUCAAUGUCUCAGCUCUUGGCCAGGAAAAGAGGCAACCAACUUCUGCAGGAUCAUGCAAGCAGCACAAGAGAGAACAUAAUUCCUCUGCAACCCCAACUAAUCUGAACUGCUUUACACGAAACUUUGCAGAAACUUUUCAUGAAAGCUCUUUUGCUGAAGGCCUGAAAAGUCUCUCAGCAAAUCCCUUGGUACAUCCCAUACUACUGUGUCAUGCCAGUCAGAGGAUUUGCAGCGCUCUUAAAGCAAGAAAGUGUUAAGAAGGCAUAGAGAUAGUCAGUCAAAAUUCCUAAGCCUGAUGCUUAUACAUUGAGAAUUUCAAUUUUCUGACUUUGUGACAUGGGGGGUAUCCGUGCUUGCCAAGCACAUGGAGUACUAUAAAGGCAGGAGUCAAGAAAACAAAUAAACAAAAUCCCACUAACAAAUACAUACUCCAACAGAGUUUAGUCCCUUCUAAUUUGUGGCAAUCUAGCAUUUAACAGCUUUUUUCCACCUCAUAUGGGAGUUUAAAGCAACAGUACUACAGUGGAGAGAGGGUUAACCUUUAAACUAUAGAAUAACAUAAAAAUUAGACCCAAAGGGACAGAAUUUGUGUUCAUUGGCAAGGAGAAGCACUGUAAAAGAGGGUGGAAAUUUCCUGUUAGACAGGGAAGCAGGAGAAACUGCACAGCACUGCAGAAAAACUCCCAUUAACAGCUCAAAAUAUUUCUCCAUUUCCUUCCCCCCACCACCAAGCUGCCUGCAGACUCUAGUCUGCAAACCCCCACUGUAAAUCACACUCUUUAAGUCAUUUCCCCCCCUCCCACAAAGUCACACCUUGUCACAUCAGUAAGACCACAUCAAAGAGAGCUGCAGACAUACCUCCAGGACUUUGCUGUGUUCUCUUCCCCUCUUUAGGGUGCUCUGUCCCAGGAGAUCAAUAUGUGUACAGCCAGCUUGGUGGGCAAACCCAGUCCUGGUGUCUGCUCCAUCCUGCCACUGCCUGCAGCCCCCACCAGCAUCAGUGCUUCACGUGCGUUUGAAGUCGGACAUACAGAAGUAGUGGGAUGACACUGUUUCUUGCACAAAUUACAAAAGAAAAUUGUAAAAUGUUAGCUGGAAAAAAGUGAACAUGGAGACUUGGUAUGCAUUUCUAAGCACCAAGAAGACAGGGAGAAAGGAACACCAUAAAAAGAACAGAUCACAUCAAAGCAACCUAAUUUCCUUCUCCAGCAAAGUAAAGACAACUUGGGGAGAGGCAGGAAAGCACCGGGACACGAGGAGUCUGUCAGAAGACACACCAAGUUUAAGACGCAUGUAACACUUCAGGUACCAAGACUCCAGGUGUCAGAAGCCUUGCUCCCUCCACAAAUAAAACAGCUCUGACACUAAGCUAAGGCCAGGAGUUUGGGCUACUGUUAUGAGACCCACAUGACACUCAUGACACUUCCUGAAAUUCUCUUUAGAUAUGAUGACCUGCGUUGCAAGUUCACCUAUACAUAAGUACUUUGAAUGGUAUACAAAGUCUCCGUAUAAUAAAGAAAAGAAAUAAAGAAAUAAAUUUCUG